UUAAGUUCAGCGGGUAUCCCUACCUGAUCCGAGGUCAACCUUGAGAAAAGAUUGGGGGUAGACAGGCCCCGGCCGGACCUCACAGAGCGAGUGACAAAGCCCCAUACGCUCGAGGACCGGACGCGACGCCGCCACUGCCUUUCAGGCCUGUCCCCGGGGGGACAGCGCCCAACACACAAGCCGCGCUUGAGGGUAGCAAU
rnacentral:misc_RNA from 1 species